rnacentral:lncRNA from 1 species
GAACCUGUCCUACUGACUUCUCCAUUCAGGUCAUCCAGGAGACUGUGCCACUGGAGCCAAUGGUACCAAAAGUACAAUAUGGUUCCUUUAAAUAAGACUUUUUCGCCUACUUAGGAUUAACUCCACAUGAA